rnacentral:piRNA from 1 species
UUUAUUUUUUGGUGGGACUAGCAU